rnacentral:lncRNA from 1 species
GACAGCUCCAGGUUGUAAUUGUUCUGCCUAAGGAUUUCCUUGUUCAGAUCAAUCUGCCUAAAGCCCAUUUCCUCCAGCUCCCUCAGCAGCUUCUCUUCAUUGUGACCAUCUAUGUCAAAAGGCUCAGGUGCUGCGGCGCUGGCUGCAGGUGGAGGCACAGGCACAGAAGCAGGGGCAGGGGCAGAUGCAGGUGCGGAUGCAGGGGCAGGCAUAGAAACAGGCACAGUUGUAGGCAGGAUAGGCACAUUAACAGGUGAAGGUCCAACCGGGGCAAGCAGCUCAGGUGCAGGUGCAGGCACACUAACAGAAGGCACAAAAGCAGCAGCAGUGGCACUGGACAUGGGAACAUCAACGACAAGGUUUGCAGGAGCUGCUGCAGGCAUAGAGGUAGCAACUACUAGAGCAGGCUGAGAUUUCUUGGGCUCUGGAACAUCACUCGGAUAGAAGUGGAACUCUUUAGUGCGUUUGGCAUGUGCACUAAGGGCUGGGUCAACAGGCUCAAUGUUCACAUCAAUUAGGCUAGUUGUGUUUGCACUACUGCCUUCUGGUGGCAGAUUCAGAUUAAUAGCAGUGUUCCUGUUAUUGUCAUUAACAAAGGAAGGAUCUUCCACCUACAGAUGCAGUUACAGUUCAAAAGUUCAGGUCAGAAAGAAAAUUACUGAGAGUAAACAUCUACAUUUUGGAAAACAAUGUUAAGGUAACAACCUGAAUAUGAACCCAAACUCGCUGACCAAAUUUCUGACCAGAAGGUGAUGCCAACCUCCAGUAAGAUAUGUACCUCCCAGGCCUUGUGGGUGCCACAAAAUCAACAGCAACAUCAAUCUCCUUAUCCACAGGAAACCCAUUGACUGGAAUCUGCACAAUACAAGAAAGCUCAUAACUGAGAACUUGUACAUUUCUAUAACAUGCAGCCUAAUUUGCAAUUCAAAGAAGCAAGCGGAAAUCUAAUCAGAGUAAAUAUAGCUACCUCUAAUGGAACAGAGGUCUGCAAUGCAAACUGAUCUCCACCGACCCAGAUAAGCUGUGUGCCCAAUGGCCACACGAUAGACCCAUUGUUAUGCAUGCGCCAAAUCUUAGUAAACGGGGUAGAAGGUGUCAUCAGUGUGCCAUCCAGGACAGUUACAUCCAAAAUGAAGCGACUUUCAAGUUUCUCCCGUUUCGACUUCAUCACAACCCGUGGGUGGUGCACCUUUCGAUACUUAAAGAAAACAGAUUUUCAAAUCAGUUAUUCUGCUAAGCAACUUAGUCAUACAAAAGAAUACUCCAUCCAAAAUGAGGCACUCACCGAAUGAGGAUCUCUCAGUAACCUGUGUGGUAAAAUAGGCUUGUCUAUUUUGGUGUACUCAACUUCAUUUCCCAUGCGCUGGAAACAGGAAUUGCACAAAUCGUAGUCUUCUUUCCUGUGGGGCAAACAGGAAGAUGUCAGAUCUAACAGCAUCAAAUACAACCAAGAAUUAUUGAAGUAGAAAGUUAUUCGAGGCCUUACACGUUAGAUUUGAAACGUGGACCAACAAUUGGUUGUACUCCACAACCAUCACACUGAAUCCAUCUAUGGAGACUACGUGGUGCUGAGUUCUCCAUAUUGCCAGCAAGAUCUCCAUAUGGAUGCCCAGAAGACAAGAGACGGCCUGGAUAAGGAAAAUGUGGAGAAGGUCCAUAGCCUGGUGGUGCAUGAGACACUGCUGCAGGUGGUGCAUAGGGAACUUUAUACAUUGGAAUGCGCCAUCUGGAAUCACUAGUGACUUUUGUAUUAUUUUCAGAUUGCCACUGGUGUGGUUGGCUCCUUCGUGGACGGAACAAUUCAGAAACACAAGGAGGUGGAGGUGGAACAUGAAUGGGAACAGCAUGCGGGGAGGCAGGCUGAGUGGCAGAGGACGCAACAGAUUUGCCCUUACUUUGAGCAUCAAUCUUCCCUUUGCAAACAGGUUUGUCAACUGAAUUACUGGGGAACAGCAACUCCUCAACAGAUGGGUACAUUGAUGGUUGCUGACCUUGAGAAGCCUCAACACUAGGAGCAGCAACAGGAGCAUCCUUUAACACACUCCUAAGAUCCAAACAUGCCUUAGCUUUGGGCUUAGCUGUGGCAGGAACAGCAACAGGAGCAUCCUCUGCCACACGAGUAGAAGAGGUGGAUGACCCUUCAGCAUGUGCAUCAGAUGGUCCAUUGCCACCAUUGCUUGGUGCCAUCAUUUGCACAAAAGGUUUCAUCAGCUCAGCUAAUGGUGGUGGUGCCGCAUCAAGUACUUCAUGAGAGAGUUUUGCAAUGGCAUCAGGAAUUGGCUCUGGGAUAGACUUGAUAGCUUCACCUAUAGCUGAUUUUAUAUGUGCCAGACUUUCUUCCUGAGCAGGUUUCAAACCUUCGAUAGCUGACAUUAUCUGGGACAGUGGAUCCUGAGCAGUAGGCUUCACAGGUGUAGAAUUUCUCUCCUUUUGUUCAGUUGGUUGACUUUUCUUUAGCUGAACAGUAAUCCUCAGAGGGUUUAGUUUCUGACGCAGAGCUGCAUCACGCAGGUCAUCAUCAUCAUCUAGCAUGACAGCAUCACCAUCC